UACGUAGGUGGCAAGCGUUGUCCGGAUUUACUGGGCGUAAAGGGUGCGUAGGCGGUUCGUUAAGUCUGUCGUGAAAUCCCCGGGCUCAACCUGGGAAUGGCGAUGGAUACUGGCGAGCUAGAGUGUGUCAGAGGAUGGCGGAAUUCCCGGUGUAGCAGUGAAAUGCGUAGAGAUCGGGAGGAACAUCCGUGGCGAAGGCGGCCAUCUGGACCAGCACUGACACUGAGGCACGAAAGCGUGGGGAGCAAACAGG
rnacentral:rRNA from 1 species